GCCUCUUGCUGUAUACUUUUUCUUUCUUUUAGACAGCGUUUUCUUAGAAACCGUUGACGUGCGAGUGGUUACGCAGGCAGGCUGCAUAUUACUGUAUACCAUUUCCCCCCAUGCAGCAAUUUUACCGUUACGUCUAAUAUUAAUGCUACAAGCCGUUCAUUUCUUCCAGGGCCAUUACCGAAGUGCAAGUGGUUAGGCAGACUGCCUACUACUGGAUACCUUUUUUUGUUUCCUUUCAGAGACCACCUCUUACUGUGUACGUCCCCCCCCCCCCUUUGAGACACCAUUGAAGGGCCAGUGGUUACGCAGGCAGGCUGGAUAUUACGACACAAUUGGCAUGCAUUGGGUGAUGCAGGCAGACUGCUUAGUGUGCACCACUCGUCGUUUAGUCUAUUGAGGUGCUACAAGUGUUGUGUCAGUCUAUUUCCUCUCCGAAAAUAAAAUGUUGGGCUCUACA